CUGUUGACCAGUAAUAUAGACAGUUAAAAUCUAACAAUGAAAAAAAAUCGACAUCUUGGUGGAAUAGGUGAUCUCCACUACGUUGAGGCGAGCCUGGCGGCGGUAGACCCAGGCGAAGACGCGCGGGUGGCGGCCGUCCGCCGUGCAGUAGGUGAUCCGCGGCAGCAGGUAGGCGUGCGCCGGCCUGCGGCUCCCCGAGCCGCCGGCGCCGCCGCGUUCACAGGGCUGCAUGCGGAUCCCGUGCGGCCCCAGCGUCAGCUUCAUCUUGGUGCCCCCGCCCGGCCCGCAGCGCGCCCAGAUCUUGUUCACGGCGUCGUCGGUGCAGCCGUCGCCCUUGGCGUGCAGGGUGACGGCGUUGCCCAGGUACCACACGGUGUAGGUGGGGUCCUCCUUGUUGAGCUCCACUUUCUGGCGCCGGCUGCGGAACACGCGGCCCAGGCGCUCGAGCGGCCAGUCGGGCAGCAGGUCUGGGCAGGAGCGCAGGAAGCUGGAGAGCAGCGACGUGUAGGCGAGCCCGGGACUCAGGCUCUUCGCCUUGCACUUGGCCUCGUCCUCCACCAGCACGAAUUUGUUACGUCUCCAGGGCAGCAUCGCGGCGGCCGAAGGAAGGGGCCGGGGGCGCGGCGAGCGCGGGGCGGCCGGGGGAGGGGCAGGCGCGCCGAGGCCCACUCGGUGGCCCCGGGGUGGCGAGGAGCCGGGCGGAGCUGGAGACAGGCGGUGCCCGGAGACGCCCAGUGCCAGGCGGGGCUGGCUUCGCAGAUGCCGGGGGGCCGGCCGGUCUGCCCGCCGAGAUGCCCGGCGGCGGCCGAGCGGCCAAGAGCAGCUUUCGCUGGGAGCGACUCCAGCCGUCUGGGUAGCAAGGAGGGGCAGGGACGCCCCCCAGGCCCGAGCAGAAAUCUCAGGUUUUCCACCUGUGCCAUUUUAAAAGCGUCUGUUGCACACACAACUUUGGCUGCAGUUCUCUGUGUCUUUAAAUUCAAGAACGAAGGGGGUGUUUGCCUGGGAUAA
rnacentral:lncRNA from 1 species